AAACUAACAAGGAUUCCCCUAGUAGCGGCGAGUGAAGCGGGAAGAGCUCAAAUUUGUAAUCUGGCGUCCUUCGGGCGUCCGAGUUGUAAUCUAUAGAAGUGUUUUCCGUGCCGGACCAUGUCCAAGUCCCUUGGAACAGGGUAUCAAAGAGGGUGACAAUCCCGUACUUGACAUGACCACCGGUGCUCUGUGAUACACUUUCUACGAGUCGAGUUGUUUGGGAAUGCAGCUCAAAAUGGGUGGUAAAUUCCAUCUAAAGCUAAAUAUUGGCGAGAGACCGAUAGCGAACAAGUACCGUGAGGGAAAGAUGAAAAGCACUUUGGAAAGAGAGUUAAACAGUACGUGAAAUUGUUGAAAGGGAAACGAUUGAAGUCAGUCGUGUUCUUUGGACUCAGCCGGUUCUUCCGGUCUAUUUCCUUUGAACGGGUCAACAUCAGUUUUGUCCGGUGGAUAAAGGCAGGAAGAAAGUGGCUCCCUCGGGAGUGUUAUAGCUUUCUGUCACAUACACUGGAGGAGACUGAGGACUGCAGCUCGCCUUUUGGCCGGGGUUCGCCCACGUUCGAGCUUAGGAUGUUGACAUAAUGGCUUUAAACGAC
rnacentral:rRNA from 1 species